AGUGAACGCUGGCGGUAGGCCUAACACAUGCAAGUCGAACGGCAGCACAGUAAGCGCUUGCUCUUACGGGUGGCGAGUGGCGGACGGGUGAGGAAUCCAUCGGAAUCUACUUUUUCGUGGGGGAUAACGUAGGGAAACUUACGCUAAUACCGCAUACGACCUACGGGUGAAAGCAGGGGAUCUUCGGACCUUGCGCGAUUGAAUGAGCCGAUGUCGGAUUAGCUAGUUGGCGGGGUAAAGGCCCACCAAGGCGACGAUCCGUAGCUGGUCUGAGAGGAGGAUCAGCCACACUGGAACUGAGACACGGUCCAGACUCCUACGGGAGGCAGCAGUGGGGAAUAUUGGAGAAUGGGCGCAAGCCUGAUCCAGCCAUACCGCGUGGGUGAAGAAGGCCUUCGGGUUGUAAAGACCUUUUGUUGGGAAAGAAAAGCAGCAGGUUAAUACCCCGCUGUUCUGACGGUACCCAAAGAAUAAGCACCGGCUAACUUCGUG
rnacentral:rRNA from 1 species